UAAAGAAUUUCGGUUAUCGAUGGGGAUGCGUUCCAUUAGUUAGUUGGCGGGGUAACGGCCCACCAAGACGACGAUGGAUAGGGGUUCUGAGAGGAAGGUCCCCCACAUUGGAACUGAGACACGGUCCAAACUCCUACGGGAGGCAGCAGUGAGGAAUAUUGGUCAAUGGACGAGAGUCUGAACCAGCCAAGUAGCGUGAAGGAUGACUGCCCUAUGGGUUGUAAACUUCUUUUAUAUGGGAAUAAAACAGGGUAUGCAUACCCUCUUGUACGUACCAUAUGAAUAAGGAUCGGCUAACUCCGUGCCAGCAGCCGCGGUAAUACGGAGGAUCCGAGCGUUAUCCGGAUUUAUUGGGUUUAAAGGGAGCGUAGGUGGAUUGUUAAGUCAGUUGUGAAAGUUUGCGGCUCAACCGUAAAAUUGCAGUUGAAACUGGCAGUCUUGAGUACAGUAGAGGUGGGCGGAAUUCGUGGUGUAGCGGUGAAAUGCUUAGAUAUCACGAAGAACUCCGAUUGCGAAGGCAGCUCACUAGACUGCAACUGACACUGAUGCUCGAAAGUGUGGGUAUCAAACAGGAUUAGAUACCCUGGUAGUCCACACAGUAAACGAUGAAUACUCGCUGUUUGCGAUAUACAGUAA
rnacentral:rRNA from 1 species